GACGCUGAGCGGCAGGCUAAUACAUGCAAGUCGGACGGGAUUGGAGAGCUGUGCUUCCAUGAGGAGUGGCGCACGGGUGCGUGAACACUGUAUGUAACCGACCCUUGCCAGUGGGGAUAGAGCCUCGUGCGAAAGGAAGAGAUGUAACACCGUGCAAUGAACAUGACCGGGUAGCAUUACGCGGGUCAUCAAAUAUGUUAUAGGGCAAGGAUGGUGCAUGCGCAGCCAUUAGCUGGAUGGCGGGGUAACGGCCCACCAUGGCGAUGAUGCUUAGGGGAUCUGAGAGGAUGGCCCCCCACACUGGUACUGAGACACGGACCAGACUCCUACGGGAGGCACGACAAGUAAGGAAUAUUGGUCAAUGGGCGCAAGCCUGAACCAGCCAUGCCGCGUGCAGGAAGACGGCCCUAUGGGUUGUAAACUGCUUUUUGUCAAGGGAAUAAACCCUCUUAUGCGGUAAGAGGCUUGACAUGUACCUGAAGAAUAACGGAUCGGUAACUCCGUGCCAAGGCCAGCCGCGGUAAAUACGGAGGGAUCCCGAAGCGUUAUCCGGAUUAUUGGGUUAAAAGGGUGCGCAAGGGCGGGCCUGCUCAA
rnacentral:rRNA from 1 species